rnacentral:tRNA from 2 species
AUUUAUAUAGUUUAAUAAAAACAUUACAUUUUCAUUGUAAAAUUAAAAUAAUUUUUUUUUAUAAAUU